GCCUACGGGGGGCAGCAGUAGGGAAUCUUCCACAAUGGGCGAAAGCCUGAUGGAGCAACGCCGCGUGGGUGAAGAAGGUCUUCGGAUCGUAAAACCCUGUUGUUAGAGAAGAAAGUGCGUGAGAGUAACUGUUCACGUUUCGACGGUAUCUAACCAGAAAGCCACGGCUAACUACGUGCCAGCAGUCGCGGUAAUACGUAGGUGGCAAGCGUUAUCCGGAUUUAUUGGGCGUAAAGGGAACGCAGGCGGUCUUUUAAGUCUGAUGUGAAAGCCUUCGGCUUAACCGGAGUAGUUCAUUGGAAACG
rnacentral:rRNA from 1 species